AGAUCAGAAGGUGAUUGUGGCUUUGAAUAGAUUAAAACAGCCACAGCACUGCCUGGUCAGA
rnacentral:pre_miRNA from 1 species